UGGGGAAUCUUGCACAAUGGGGGCAACCCUGAUGCAGCGACGCCGCGUGAGCGAUGAAGCCCUUCGGGGCGUAAAGCUCUUUCGACCGGAACGAUAAUGACGGUACCAUUUAUAAGCUCCGGCUAACUACGUGCCAGCAGCCGCGGUAAUAUGUAGGGAGCAAGCGUUGUUCGGAUUUACUGGGCGUAAAGGGCGCGUAGGCGGCGCGGUAAGUCACUUGUGAAAUCUCUGAGCUUAACUCAGAACGGCUAAGUGAUACUGCUGUGCUAGAGUGCGGAAGAGGCAACCGGAAUUCUUGGUGUAGCGGUGAAAUGCGUAGAUAUCAAGAGGAACACCUGAGGCGAAGGCGGGUUGCUGGGCCGACACUGACGCUGAUGCGCGAAAGCCAGGGGAGCAAACG
rnacentral:rRNA from 1 species